AUGUCUACCUCAGAGGUUUCCGAGAGUGCCGAUUCCAUGGAUGAGGAUAUGAGUCAAGUACCACGUGUUAGAAGGUCCAAGGUGUGGGAGCAUUAUGAACAAGAUCUGGUUCGCAUACAUGGUGAUCUCAAGGCUGUGUGCAAAUAUUGUGGGACACAACUUCAUACCAAGUUUGGGACUACGAGUUUG
rnacentral:rRNA from 1 species